rnacentral:rRNA from 1 species
AGAACUUAGCAGAGAUGCUUUGGUGCCUUCGGGAACUCUGAGACAGGUGCUGCAUGGCUGUCGUCAGCUCGUGUUGUGAAAUGUUGGGUUAAGUCCCGCAACGAGCGCAACCCUUAUCCUUUGUUGCCAGCGGCUCGGCCGGGAACUCAAAGGAGACUGCCGGUGAUAAACCGGAGGAAGGUGGGGAUGACGUCAAGUCAUCAUGGCCUUACGGCCAGGGCUACACACGUGCUACAAUGGCGCAUACAAAGAGAAGCGACCUCGCGAGAGCAAGCGGACCUCAUAAAGUGCGUCGUAGUCCGGAUUGGAGUCUGCGACUCGACUCCAUGAAGUCGGAUUCGCUAGUAAUCGUAGAUCAGAAUGCUACGGUGAAUACGUUCCCGGGCCUUGUGCACACCGCCCGUCACACCAUGGGAGUGGGUUGCAAAAGAAGUAGGUAGCUUAACCUUCGGGAGGGCGCUUACCACUUUGUGAUUCAUGACUGGGGUGAAGUCGUAACAAGGUAAGCGUAGCGAG